GAACGCACAUUGCGCCCGCCAGCAUUCUGGCGGGCAUGCCUGUUCGAGCGUCAUUUCAACCCUCAAGCUCUGCUUGGUGUUGGGGCCCUACGGUUGACGUAGGCCCUUAAAGGUAGUGGCGGACCCUCUCGGAGCCUCCUUUGCGUAGUAACUAACGUCUCGCAUUGGGAUUCGGAGGGACUCUUGCCGUAAAACCCCCAAAUUUUCUAAUGGUUGACCUCGGAUCAGGUAGGAAUACCCGCUGAACUUAAG
rnacentral:misc_RNA from 1 species